rnacentral:misc_RNA from 1 species
AACACUGUUAACCUGCGGUACCUGCGGAGGGAUCAUUACGAGAGUGUCACCACUCCCAACCCAUUGUUUACCUACCCGUCCACCGUGCUUCGGCAGGCAGCCCUGUGGGACAGAGCCUCGCCCCCUUUCGCGGGGGGUGCCUGCCGCUUGCCAACCAAAACUCUAGCUGUUUUAGUACCAUCUGAGUCUUCCACAAAUGAACAAAACUUUCAGCAACGGAUCUCAGAUCGGAAGAGCACA